CAGAAGCCGCGUCGGCCGCGAGGCCGGCGCCUUCGCCCAACCCUUUGUGAACGAUAUUGAUUGCCCCGGGGGACCCCGCACCCGUGCGGCCCCCCGGUGGCCCCCCAUAACUCUUGUUGUACCUGCCGUCUGAGUCGCAAAUGCAAAUGAAACAAAACUUUCAACAACGGAUCUCUUGGUUCUGGCAUCGAUGAAGAACGCAGCGAAAUGCGAUAAGUAAUGUGAAUUGCAGAAUUCAGUGAAUCAUCGAAUCUUUGAACGCACAUUGCGCCCCCUGGUAUUCCGGGGGGCAUGCCUGUUCGAGCGUCAUUACAACCAAUCCAGCCCGGCUGGGUGUUGGGCGUCGCGGCCUGCCGCGCGCCUCAAAGUCCUCGGCGGAAGCCGCCCGUUCCUCUGCGUGAUGAUCCAUCGCCGCUUGGGAGUCGGGGGAGAGCGCCUGCACGCGUCGACGGAGACGUCGACUUCAAGGUUGACCUCGGAUCAGGUAGGG
rnacentral:rRNA from 1 species